AUGCGCUGUCCAGGGCCGACGCGGUUGUAGCAUGCUGAGAAGGUGCGAGGGCCCUGGGAGGAGGGGCACCUGCCACUAGAAGCGGCCUCUGGGACGUCGCGCUGAGCCCUGCUUUGGAGUCAGAGGGGCUUUCCGCCUCGGUGAACUCGAGAGUAGCAACUCUCCUCCGGGUAACCGGAGUGCCACAGCGGGCAGGCGUCAUAAGGACAGGCCUCGGAGAGGAGAGGGGCUACCCGAGAAUGGCCUCAAAGUAUGCAUAGGAGUUGGAAAGGCAGAGGAACAAGUGUAUUCAGAGACGCAAAGCCGGUUUCUGCCCACUACUCAGGAUUGUCUGCCGUGGUGGCUUCUCACACAAGCCUGUACUUUCCUGUGGGAGAAUAUUUCCUAGGAGCCUAUAUUCCAGUUCAUCUCUGACGUCAUAAAUCGUGACUGUGUAGAAAGGCAUAACAUGUGACACAUGGCAGCCAUUUUGGAGAUGGCCAGAUGAGAGGACAAUCAAUCCACAUGCCUAAAUGGAACCAACAGACACACGCCAGCUUGCUUCUCCAGCCUAUGCUCUCAGAGACUUGUAGAAGACCAUAGGGAAAAUGGAAUCAGAAAAAACAGCAACAACAACAAAAAGCCAUCCAUCCAUGUGGGAAAAGGCCCAAUCAGAGCCAACUCACUGCUGGGAUUAGUAGAAAUGAUUAGUCACCAGAAGGCAAAUCGUGGAAGAAUGAAGAGAUGACAGGACCUCAGGAACUACACCCAGAGGUGUAGUUGUGCCGUAGGCAAAGCAUCAUGCCGGUCAUCCCCAAGAAGGGGAGAAAGGGUAGAGCUCAGACUCUUCCCUGCUUCCCCAUAAGUCCAGUUUACCCUGGGCUGAUCCUUUCAGCAUGGCAGCCUCCAUGGGGAGGCACGAGAUCCAAAGAUGAAGAUGUCUAUGGGGGUGAAGAAGAAUGGCAAACUUUGCAGGCAAGAGUAGGCAUUAGAGAGAUCAGAGGAGGAAGACAAUAGAGAAGGAUGACACAGGACAGGCUGUAUCUAGAGGAUAUAGUGCCAUGGACUUUGGACGAUUCCAGAGAGGCUGAGAGACCUGUCUCCUGCCUACAAGGCUCCUUGAACUCUGCACCCUUCUUUUUGCUAAAGUGCUGCUGAGGCCUGUCUCACUUCCCAAUGAAAAGCAACUCAGGAAAUUGGCUUCCUGCCCCACUCCUUCUUUGGGAGAGAGAAACAGAACUGAAGAGGAAGGAAGAAAGCCCAAAGAAACAGAGGCUUUCUUUCCUGGCUGAGAUUCGUUGGCACUGCCCACUAACAUAGAGAAUAAGGUGGUUCCCUAAGCAAGCCUUAAGCUGGCAUGAGGCUACAAACAAGUGAUUGUAUCUUCGUUCUGCUCGGCAGCCUACCUGGGCUGGCCUGGACAACCUCAAUUGUACACUGAGGUCUUAAGCUGGCCAUGGCCCUUGGUAAAGCAGGAGAAAGGAAUAAGGCUGGAAGGUACAGAAUUUGCUUGAUGCCUUGCCUACAUAAUUCCUUUGCUGUUGCAACUGGCAACUCUUUGCUUGCAUUAUGUGAAAAAAAGGCAGUAAAAAAUUGUCAGAAAUGUUUGCCACCAGCCUAUCCCCACCGCCCAUGCAUUGCUCCCAAGAAAGCUAAUUAAGGCCCAUUGCUAUUAGAGUUACAUGAUUCUGAAGACUUGUUAUGACAAGAAAAAAUAAUGAAGACAUGGUUCCUCCAAGUCAUAAGCAUCCAAGUCAAAACAUACUGCAUCCCAGCAUCCUGCAUCCCUUGUCCCUUUGUGUUCCCCUAGACAAGCCUCUGGGCUGGCUUUGCCUAUCUCAUGCAUGCAGGCAGUCAUCCUCCUUUGGCCAGUGCAUACCUGACUCCUACUCAGUGCCAGGCCUGGAGAAGACUGUGAGACCUGCCCUUGAGGAGUUCUGUUUGCAGGAAGACAGUGAUAGGCACACAAAUUAUUUCCAAUAAACUACAGAAAAUGU
rnacentral:lncRNA from 1 species